rnacentral:rRNA from 1 species
UCGUGGUGCCGAAUAAUGGCGACGCGAAAGAGAAAUCGAGUAGGGCCCUGGGGAGAGUACACGCGCAAGCGAGAAAUUUAAAGGAAAUUGACGGAAGAACACCACAAGGAGUGGAGUGUGCGGCUUAAUUUGACUCAACGCGGGACAACUUACCGGGCCCGACGACCGUAUGAGUGUAACACACGAUAGGUCGAAGAGUGGUGCAUGGCCGUUAACGACGAGUGGAGUGAUCUUUGGGUUAAGUCCGUAAAUUAGUGAGACCUCAGCCGUAAGGGACAGGUGCGCAAAGCACAGGAAGGAUGGGUCAAGGACAGGUCAGUGAUGCCCUUAGAUGGUCCGGGCUGCACGCGCACUACAGUGGUCGCCGAAAUUACCUGAUAAUUUUAAAGGCGAUCGAGAGGAAAUGAGCUUUGUAAGAGGCUCAGGAACGAGGAAUUGCUAGUAAUCGCGGACUCAUUAAGACGCGAUGAAUACGUCCCUGUUCUUUGUACACACCGCCCGUCGUUAUCGAAGAUGAAGAUAGGCGCGAACGAUCUACCAGAAAGUGAGCGCAGGUCUUUAGAUCUGAUACAAGUCGUAACAAGGUAGCUGUAGGAGAACCUGUAGCUG